rnacentral:rRNA from 1 species
ACCAGACUCCUACGGGAGGCAGCAGUGGGGAAUAUUGGGCAAUGGGCGCAAGCCUGACCCAGCAAUGCCGCGUGAAGGAAGAAGGCUUUCGGGUUGUAAACUUCUUUGACAGGGGAAGAGCAGAAGACGGUACCCUGAAAACAAGCCACGGCUAACUACGUGCCAGCAGCCGCGGUAAUACGUAGGGGGCAAGCGUUAUCCGGAAUUACUGGGUGUAAAGGGAGCGCAGACGGCAGUGCAAGUCUGGAGUGAAAGCCCGUGGCUUAACUACGGGACUGCUCUGGAAACUGUGCAGCUAGAGUGCAGGAGAGGCAGGCGGAAUUCCUAGUGUAGCGGUGAAAUGCGUAGAUAUUAGGAGGAACACCGGUGGCGAAGGCGGCCUGCUGGACUGUAACUGACGUUGAGGCUCGAAAGCGUGGGGAGCAAACAGGAUUAGAUACCCGCGUAAU